rnacentral:rRNA from 1 species
UACGCAGGGUGCGAGCGUUGUCCGGAAUCAUUGGGCGUAAAGCGCGCGUAGGCGGCCCCGUAAGUCCGCUGUGAAAGUCAAAGGCUCAACCUUUGAAAGCCGGUGGAUACUGUGGGGCUAGAGUCCGGAAGAGGCGAGUGGAAUUCCUGGUGUAGCGGUGGAAUGCGCAGAUAUCAGGAGGAACACCAAUAGCGAAGGCAGCUCGCUGGGACGGUACUGACGCUAAGGCGCGAAAGCGUGGGGAGCGAACAGG